rnacentral:lncRNA from 1 species
UUUCUCCCCAAAGCCCCCCAGUACAUAGUUGUAUAUUCUUAGUUGUGGGUCCUUCCAGCUGUGGCAUGUGGGACGCCACCUCAGCGUGGCUCGAUGAGCAGUGCCAUGUCUGCACCCAGGAUUCGAACCAAUGAAACACUGGGCCGCCUGCAGCGGAGCACAAGAACUUAACCACUGGGCCACAGGGACGGCCCCUCUCUUUUUUUUUUUUUAAAGAUUGGCACCUGAGCUAACGUCUGUUGCCAAUCUUUUUUUUUUUUCUUCUCCCCAAAGCCCCCGGGUACAUAGUUGUAUAUUCUAGUUGUGCUAUCAGUACUCUCUUUUUAAGCACCUGCUAGUACAGUUCUGUGUGGGGCACUGUGAGAAAUCAGCCUCGGUCCCACCCAAUAGUGACUUUGGCAAUUUCUGUGUAUUAAAAUUGUGAACAAAAACAUAUAAAGUACAGUGAAUUAAGAUACACACAGUUAAGGAAUAUUUAUAAACUAGAUACCUAGGUCAAGAAAUAGGACUCUGCCAGUCCCCCAGGAACCCCGCUGAGUGACCCUCCUUGAUCAUAAUCCUCUCCUCCACCUAAGCAUCCCAGUUUUUGUGUUAAUCACCUCCCUGCUUUUCCUUCCAGUUUCAUCACCUGUAUCUGCUUACUUUCACCUGUUUAUCACCUUAACAUGAAUAGAAUCAUACUGUACACAGGAUUCUUGCUUCUCUCACUUGACAGUUUGUGGAUUCUAAGACAUCCUCCCCUGACUUCCUUGUCCGGGACUGCAACCACCUGGACCACGUGCUCAGCUGCAUUGCCCCUCUCAGAUGCUCAGAUGGGUUGGCUGCACGAGGGCAGGGAUGGGGCCUUUAUGCCUCGGUGAAGGCGGUGUCCAGCACAGGCCAGGCACACCAUAAGUGCUCAGUAUGCAGGCACUGAAUGAAUGAAAGAGAAUGAGUGAAAUGGUGACCUCUGCGUACAUUUAUGAGAAAUCUCAGGACAGGACUGAUACUGGAGGCCAUAGGGUGACAUUCCAGAGCAUCUCCCUAGAUCCUGGCCCUUUCUGUGGCGCAGCCAGGUACAAUGGAAAGCACACCAGCUUGGGAGCCAGGCAGAUCUGCAUUCUAAUCCUGCCUCCACACCUUACUGACUUGGGUGAAUAAAACUUCGCUGUGCCUCAGUUUCCUCAUCUGUGAAAUGGGCAUAAUAACCCCAACCUCACAGGGGGUUAAGAUUCAGUAAAUUACUCCAAGUAACUGGU